UCAUUGGAAUCAUUUUUUGACAAAUUUCACUUGCAUUUAGAAACAAAAGCUGCAACACAAACUGAAAACAAAAGGAUUAGUAUUGGACCGCUAAUUUGGAUUUUGUAAUUCCGAAUAUCUCUUAUGUUACUCCCGAAAACCCGAGCCCAAGUUGCAACCGCUACAGGAUUAGAAAAUUAUGGUAACUAGGGGGAAAAAGUUAGUGAAUGUGUUUCUUAUUUCUUGUGUAUUUGUCCAUACAAUGAUGCCUUGUUUACGCAAUUCCUAACGCCAAAAAUGACAUUACUAAAAGAGUUGUUUAAUUUACGUUAAAGCAAUUAAGUCAUUGUUUAAUAACAAUAAAUCGUUACCAAAUUAUUUUACACUAAUGAAGUGGUUGCCUAAUAAACCUAGACAUAUUAUAACACUUAUCUUCAUGUGCUUCAAGCUUCCAACCAAUACACAUUCAUCAACAAAUGUUCGCUACGAACAUAAAUGAUUUUUUAUUUUUUAUGUGGUAAAUAAUUUCAUAAAAAAUGGGAAAACUCCCGUAUAUAACAGGCAUACCAAAAAGUAGAGAACCUACAAAAAAAAAAAUAUGAUCCUCUGUGAAUAGGAAUUUCAGGAGUGCACCAAAAAGCGAUCAAAGAGAAAACUAUUCCUCAAGUGUACAAAGUCAUUUUCAAUCCUCACACACUCGUAUUUCUCUCCCUCCAUAUGACCCACAAAAGAGCUAGUAGAGUAGCCUCCCAUGGCCUUUGUCUUCUUCUCCUACGUACACUAGCCCAUCUAUGCAACACAUCUCUAACAAUGCCUGGCAUCACCAACUUUAUACAAAACCAAUUCAAGAUCACCCUCCACAGAGGCACAAAGCCAAACACCACCCUACGAUGCACCAAAAGGUGAUCAACUUCUUCAUUGGAACAUUUAUACAUACAUCACCAACUAACAUAAGUACUAUUUUUCUUCCUCAGAUUCUUAGCCGGUAGAAUCGCCUCCUUGCUGCCAACCAUGUAAGAAAAUACACUUUCUUGGGCGCCCUUAGAAUCCAAACCAAUAAGUGUGGAAAACAUGUAUUCUCUCUCACCAGCAACUUCUAGUAAAAAGAUUUGAUUGUGAACAAACCAUCACUUAUCCGCUCCGAUUUCCAUGAACCCUGAUUGGAUGCAUGUACGAUCUGCUUAUACGGUACCUCCAGCAACUUUUGGAACUCCUCCAACUCCGAGUCUAGUAACUUCUCCUAAAUCCAAGAUCCCAAAGCACUUCCUCUUGCACCAUUCGAAUUUGUUGAAAUAUCACCUUGGUUUGAAACUCAGAACACAUAAGGGAAUGAAACCCUCAAUGAAUCCUCCCUAUACCACUUCCAAAAACUAAUUCUUCUCACAUCCCCAACCCUAGAAGUAAUAUGAUCACUGAAAUCUUCCCACCCUUCAUAAUACACGACCACAAACUACACCCAAACAGGAUUAUGAUAGAUCUGGUCCUCCACACCCCCCCUCCCCCCUCCCUCCAUAAAACCAUACUUCUCUACUACCCAAGUUGGGCGGACUCUUCAUUUUUGGUGCCGCACCCGUCUCAAACGGGACGGGAGCUGGUGCUCGAGCGGGAUACGUCCCGGAUUCGGUCAACUAACUUCGGAUACUUUGAUCUGAGUCUAUCGACAAAAUUGGGGGGAAAUUAAAAUUUUGAUUUCUCAAAAUUAAAAAUAAAACAGAUUUAAGACAUGCCAUUUCGCAUACCUUCAAUAUUGUAGUACUUUUGUCUCAUAUUUGCUGCUUUUUAUUCCAGAAAAACUAAGAACUCAAGAGGUCGUGUUCUGAGUUCGGACUUAUAGAUCUAUUUUUUAUAAUUUUGAAUUUUUUAGCCGUAUCGCCACACCCAUAUCCAUACCUGGACCGUACCCCCAAAUCUUAAGAUUUAGAUUUUGCUGAAUCCUAUACUCGGAUCCGUGCCCGUAUCGGAUGCCCGCUCCCGAGUCCGAGCAACUUAGUCUACUACUAGCUCCCUCCAUAAAGCAUGCUCCCAUACAAACACAAUUAAUAUUUUGUCUUUGGUUGAAUAUGACAAAACAGUAUGCUAAAAUAAAAUCAAAACAUAGUAAAACUCCAGCAACUUUCUGAAAACUUUGUCGACUAGGUGUGGGAUUAUUGAUUGGACAUGUCAGGUAAGGUGUACUAAAAUGGUUGUAUGACAUCAGCCUAGACAAGAAUGAGGGGCAGUGAACAUUUGCAUAGGUGGGUGCAGGUAAAGGAUUAGAAGAUUAAAUUUUUAUUGCUGUAUUUCUCUUGAUGAGACAAAACUCCUGAUAUGGUUUGAUGGUUAAUUUCAUUACUGGAUGAGACUCAUUCGCCAAGAUGGCAAAACAUGCAUCGUCUCGGACAAAGUUACAAGGGUGGAAGGUACCUAGUAGAAUAAUGGGGAGCGCGCAAGCAGUCCGUGACACCAAUGUUAUUUAAAAGAUAGCUCAUAACUCAAUUUUGUGUGUUUGCACUAUCUCAUGUAUUAUAUGCACCUAUGGAAACAUCAUGCUUAGAUCACGUCAACAUAAUCUUUCUAUCACUCCCCUGAAACAAUUCCUAGAACCUCAUUUUCUUUUCUUCCACAUCUAAAAUGCACGAGCAAGAAGAGAGGCAUUUCUCAACAUAAUCUUUCUCACUCCCCUGAAACAAUUCCUAGAACCUCAUUUUCUUUUCUUCCAUAUCUAAAAUGCACGAGCAAGAAGAGUUAGGCACUUCUUAAUGAUUGUAUUUUCCCCUGAUCCUUUCCAUGAUCAAAAAAUUGCACCAUAAAAUAUGAAAAGCAGCCAGAAACCCUAGAAAUAUAAUGAAUUUUGCUUCACUCAACAGGUAGUUUAUCUAAUCUAAAGAUAGUGCAAAACAAGAAAUCUUCUAGAUUGCAUUUGUUUAAUAGUUGUGUCCGAAUAAGCUUGCGCCAAGGUCUACUAAUCCACUGAGUACCUGCUAUACCCCUCCAGCAAGUAUUGGACAACUAUGUGUACCAAGACUUUAGCACAUGAAAAUUCACAGGGUCGCCUUAGUUGUAAUUUGAACCUUGAGUCCUAAGGUUGUCGCUCCAACUCAUUGACCACUAAGCCACCCCUCCAAUAGUUAUAACUUAGUUAGGUUUUAAAAAGCAAAGAACUUUUGCUUCAAAACCCUUACAACUUGUUUGUAUCGUUGUUACAUGUCGUUUUAUAAUGUAUCGUAUUGUAUUGUAUUGUAUUGUCUGAUGAAUACAUUAUACCGUUUGUCAUUAUUUGAUGAUGUCGUGCACCGACAAUAUCAAGAAUAAACUAGCAACAUUACUAAGAAAAAAUAGAUACGCAGUAAAAUUAUUAUACAAAAAAGUAAGGUAAAGGAUAAAAUAUGAUUAUUUAAUAAGAAGAAACGGCAAGAUGAGAGAAAAAAGUAAGAUAAUGAUAUGAUACAAUAAAAUUUAAGUAACAAACAAACAUUGUAUUUAAAGUAAUAAUAUCAUACAAUACAAUAGGUAACAACCAUCCAAACAAGCUGUUAAUUACAGUUCCUCUAGGCGGAUUAUCCAGUUAUUCACCUAACUAGCCACCCAAAGGUGAAAAAUGCAGAUCAAAUUCAAGUGGAAUAAAAAAGCAACAGUAAGGAACAGAAUCAAAACCAAAAAUAAGCAUCACAAAGCAUAUUUUUUUUUAAAAAGGAGGCUCACACCAUAAUAAAUUUAAAUUACCUUGUUAAGUACGCAUUGGCGCAAGGAUUCGAGCAGACGUUGGCAUUUCUCCUUAUCGUAAGGUUUCUCAGUGGUGCAAUUUAGAAGAUCGAGUGUUUCUUGUGCGCAUAAAGGAUUUUGGGCGGCGUCCAUGUGACAGAAGAGGAUUUUGUGAAUUAGGGUUUAAUGUAUGUGUGAGAGGUGAAGGGAAGUGUGAAUUUAGCAGAAAUUCUGAAAUCUCUGCCCACUGUUUUCUUUUUCUUUACAUAAACAGGGGGUGUUCACAGAAAUUUUCUUCUUCUUCAAGCUCCAGAUAGAGGGGUACUUUUCGAAAAUAAUUUUUACUAUUUGAUUGAAAAAUCAAAAUUAUUCAACUUAGGAAAUUUGCGCUAUUAAUCACUUAAUUAUCGACAAAUUCUAAUUUUAAUCCUUGUGAUAUGCUCUAUUGAUCCCUCGUCUUGUGAUCUCUAUUAACCACUACAUCAUUAAAUUAAUCCAUGCUUGAUGUU
rnacentral:lncRNA from 1 species